rnacentral:rRNA from 1 species
UAAAGAAGCCGUCGAGAGAUAUCGGAAAGAGUUUUCUUUUCUGUUUUAUAGCCGUACUACAUGGAAGUCUUUCGCAGAGAGAUAUGGUAGAUGGGCUAGAAGAGCAUGACAUAUACUGUUGUGUCGAUAUUUUCUCCUCGGACCUUGAAAAUUUAUGGUGGGGACACGCAAACUUCUCAACAGGCCGUACCAAUAUCCGCAGCUGGUCUCCAAGGUGAAGAGUCUCUAGUCGAUAGAAUAAUGUAGGUAAGGGAAGUCGGCAAAUUAGAUCCGUAACUUCGGGAUAAGGAUUGGCUCUGAAGAUUGAGAUAGUCGGGCUUGAUUGGGAAACAAUAACAUGGUUUAUGUGCUCGUUCUGGGUAAAUAGAGUUUCUAGCAUUUAUGUUAGUUACUUGUUCCCCGGAUAGUUUAGUUACGUAGCCAAUUGUGGAACUUUCUUGCUAAAAUUUUUAAGAAUACUAUUUGGGUUAAACCAAUUAGUUCUUAUUAAUUAUAACGAUUAUCAAUUAACAAUCAAUUCAGAACUGGCACGGACUUGGGGAAUCCGACUGUCUAAUUAAAACAAAGCAUUGUGAUGGCCCUAGCGGGUGUUGACACAAUGUGAUUUUGCCCAGUGCUCUGAAUGUCAAAGUGAAGAAAUUCAAGUAAGCGCGGGUCAACGGCGGGAGUAACUAUGACUCUCUUAAGGUAGCCAAAUGCCUCGUCAUCUAAUUAGUGACGCGCAUGAAUGGAUUAACGAGAUUCCUACUGUCCCUAUCUACUAUCUAGCGAAACCACAGCCAAGGGAACGGGCUUGGAAUAAUUAGCGGGGAAAGAAGACCCUUUUGAGCUUGACUCUAAUCUGGCAGUGUAAGGAGACAUAAGAGGUGUAGAAUAAGUGGGAGAUAUUAGACCUCGGUUUGGUAUCGUCAAUGAAAUACCACUACUCUUAUUGUUUCCUUACUUACUUGAUUAAAUGGAACGUGUAUCAUUUCCUAGCCAUUAUACGGAUAUAUUUAUUAUAUCUUAUGGUAUUGGGUUUUGAUGCAAGCUUCUUGAUCAAAGUAUCACGAGUUUGUUAUAUAAUCGCAAACAAAUUCUUUAAUAAAACGAUGCAUUUAUGUAUUUUUGAUUUGAAAAUUUGGUAUAACUCCAAUUACUCAGGUAUGAUCCAAUUCAAGGACAUUGCCAGGUAGGGAGUUUGACUGGGGCGGUACAUCUCUCAAAUAAUAACGGAGGUGUCCCAAGGCCAGCUCAGUGCGGACAGAAACCACACAUAGAGCAAAAGGGCAAAUGCUGACUUGAUCUCGGUGUUCAGUACACACAGGGACAGCAAAAGCUCGGCCUAUCGAUCCUUUUGGUUUAAAGAGUUUUUAACAAGAGGUGUCAGAAAAGUUACCAUAGGGAUAACUGGCUUGUGGCGGCCAAGCGUUCAUAGCGACGUCGCUUUUUGAUCCUUCGAUGUCGGCUCUUCCUAUCAUUGUGAAGCAAAAUUCACCAAGCGUUGGAUUGUUCACCCAUGCAAGGGAACGUGAGCUGGGUUUAGACCGUCGUGAGACAGGUUAGUUUUACCCUACUAAUGACAAAACGUUGUUGCGACAGCAUUCCUGCGUAGUACGAGAGGAACCGCAGGUACGGACCAAUGGCACAAUACUUGUUCGAGCGAACAGUGGUAUGACGCUACGUCCGUUGGAUUAUGCCUGAACGCCUCUAAGGUCGUAUCCGUGCUGGACUGCAAUGAUAAAUAAGGGGCAAUUUGCAUUGU